rnacentral:rRNA from 1 species
AGUGGGGAAUAUUGGACAAUGGGGGAAACCCUGAUCCAGCCAUGCCGCGUGUGUGAAGAAGGCCUUUUGGUUGUAAAGCACUUUAAGCAGUGAAGAAGACUCUGUGGUUAAUACCCACAGACGAUGACAUUAGCUGCAGAAUAAGCACCGGCUAACUCUGUGCCAGCAGCCGCGGUAAUACAGAGGGUGCAAGCGUUAAUCGGAAUUACUGGGCGUAAAGCGAGCGUAGGUGGCUUGAUAAGUCAGAUGUGAAAUCCCCGGGCUUAACCUGGGAACUGCAUCUGAAACUGUUAGGCUAGAGUAGGUGAGAGGAAGGUAGAAUUCCAGGUGUAGCGGUGAAAUGCGUAGAGAUCUGGAGGAAUACCGAUGGCGAAGGCAGCCUUCUGGCAUCAUACUGACACUGAGGCUCGAAAGCGUGGGUAGCAAA